rnacentral:rRNA from 1 species
UGGGGAAUUUUGGACAAUGGGCGCAAGCCUGAUCCAGCCAUGCCGCGUGCGGGAAGAAGGCCUUCGGGUUGUAAACCGCUUUUGUCAGGGAAGAAAUCUUCUGGGUUAAUACCCUGGGGGGAUGACGGUACCUGAAGAAUAAGCACCGGCUAACUACGUGCC